CCUCAUGAAGCAGUGAGAGGUGGAGAAGGAAGACAGGGACACUGAGUGAAGCGAGAGGAAAAGAGGACAGAGGACGUAAAGAGUGCUGUUCUCUCCACCCAGUGUGACCCUGCGGCUAAUACCCAUUCUCAGCUCUCACUCUGCGCCUCGCUCAGCAUGUAUCCAGCACCUCCAGCCAAUUCCGCCUUCUUCUUCACACAAGGUUCCUCUGUUCCCAGGCUGCCUUGCCCAAUCAACCAUCAGCAUCCAGACCACGUGAUCGGACCAGGGUCCUCACUUAACUCUUGCUGUGCCAGCACUUACCCUUUGCUGCUGCGGACCUGGCUAAUUCCUACAGUAAUAAAAUUGUGGCAAAUCCCCGGAGAAUGGCCAGCCACCAGGAAGAACACUGAUGCAGUCCCAUCCCUAACUAAACGGUGCUUAAGGUGGCCACAUUAAUUCAUUGGGCCUGCCAAACUGCUUGUAAAAGUCCUAGUGAAAGUGUGAGCAAAGUACAAUAGGGCAUAUUUAUUAAGCAAAUUUUGCGGAAUACAUUACCUGGUUGUAUUCUCAAAUAUCUGCUGUGGCUCCACUGUUUCCGAUCGCAGUAUUGUGAGAUUAGAAUGCCAAGGUGGUGUCAGCCAUUGUGGUCGAUAGGCUACAUAUCGCAUAAUUUACAGUGAGAUGGAUUCUCCAGAUCCCUCUCUGGUAAUAGACAAUCAUUCGCCCAACUGAUGACCAUGCAUGUGCAGUAGGCUGCCCAAAGUCCUACAGCACAAAGUAAAGUGAUUGCUAAUGCAAUCACCUUUCAUAACGGAGGGAUGGGCUUGAGCAAAAUUUGUGUAGACUUCUACCAAAAUGUGUGUAAGCCAAAUAUUAGCAAGUAAAAGGCCCAAUCAAAGUUUUUAAUAAAAAGGGAAAGUGAAAAAAAAAGAAAUGCAGAAACACAAUGAUGGUUACUUGAUCCAAGACUUUGGGGACCAUUUGUUAAUUAUCAUGUUUUAGACUCAAUAAUUAUAAUUUCUUAUUGUGGCAAUAACUAGCUCUGUACUGCCAGCAUGUAUUAAAAUACACAUGUAAAGACAAUGGCUCCCAUAAAACUUUCAGUUUCUGAGGUAGAACGAGUUACUGUGCAUGCGUGCUCUGCUGACCACACAUGACUGAGAGGAGAGUUUCAGGGAGGGAUCCUUCUUUCAGUACCUCUUGUGGAGUAUAGCCUAUAGCAGGCAUUC